AAAGGAAUAGACGGGGACCCGCACAAGCGGUGGAGCAUGUGGCUUAAUUCGAGGCAACGCGAAGAACCUUACCUGGGCUUGAAAUCAUAUGGGCGUUCCAUGAAAGUGGAAUUUCCUUCGGGACUGUAUGACAGGUGCUGCAUGGCUGUCGUCAGCUCGUGCCGUGAGGUGUUCGGUUAAGUCCGGCAACGAGCGCAACCCGUAUCAUUAGUUACCAUCAGGUCAAGCUGGGGACUCUAAUGAGACUGCCCGUGUUAAGCGGGAGGAAGGCGCGGAUGACGUCAAGUCAGUAUGGCCCUUACGUCCAGGGCUGCACACGUGCUACAAUGGCCGGUACAAUGAGACGCGAAACCGCGAGGUGGAGCAAAUCUACAAAACCGGUCUUAGUUCGGAUUGCAGUCUGCAACUCGACUGCAUGAAGCCGGAAUCGCUAGUAAAGGCGUAUCAGCUACGACGCCUUGAAUACGUUCCCGGGUCUUGUACACACCGCCCGU
rnacentral:rRNA from 1 species